rnacentral:misc_RNA from 1 species
UAAUAAGUGUUUUAUGGCACUUUUUAAAUCCAUAUCCACCUUGUGUGCAAUGUCAGUCGGUUUUCUUUUUCGUCAAGAAAAAAAGGAUCGACCAAACAUCAGCUUAUUCUAAUUGAACUUUUGUCUGAAAACUAUUAUGAAUAAACUAAUUCAAAAUA